UACGUAGGGGGCGAGCGUUGUCCGGAUUUAUUGGGCGUAAAGCGCGUGUAGGCGGCCACACAGGUCCGCUGUGAAAACUCGAGGCUCAACCUCGAGCUGUCGGUGGAAACCGUGUGGCUAGAGUCCGGAAGAGGAGACUGGAAUUCCCGGUGUAGCGGUGGAAUGCGCAGAUAUCGGGAGGAACACCCGUGGCGAAGGCGGGUCUCUGGGCCGAUACUGACGCUGAGGAGCGAAAGCAUGGGUAGCGAACAGG
rnacentral:rRNA from 1 species